ensembl:lncRNA
UGGGAGUUUGCCUCAUGUUUCAUGUACAUGUGCAGUACUAAACCUACCACCCGAACUUUGUCUUCUUAGCAAACUUUCCAGCAUCCUGUAAAACAGAACUUUUCACCAGUCACAUUUGGAUGUAAAUGUGACAGUUUUAAAGCUCAUGAUUGUUCAACCACAUUGGGCCUUUAAUCCUCUGGUGUUUGGUGGGCACAUGCUAGAUUAGCGUCGUAUCAAGGUCAUUCCAGUCCAAAGGUGAAGGCACAACCCCGCCCACCGACACACCCACCCCAAAUUUGAUAAGCUGCUAAAAAUGGAUGGAAUUCUGUGAAGGGCUAACACGUGGCUGAAUGUAACAUUUCACUCACCUGCGCAGUCUACUGCAGACUAAGGGUGCUACACCAUGAUAAACUCUACCUUUGUUAAUAAACCUUGUGGAAGGCAAGCAGGGAAUUUAAGCCAACUGUAACAAAAUUAUUGUUUAAGCUGCUGUAGUGCUCUGAAGCAUUUAUCUUCCCAGUGUUAUUGAUUUUGUUGUUGUGAAAAUGAGCUUUUACAACAUUUGUGAAGAGCCAGGUAAUGGCAAAAGUCCGUCUGUAUCACUGAUUAUCUUAAGGGAUGUAAACAGAUAUGGUGACACCGUGCGGUUGAUGUUCUGUUACAGAUUAUGGUUAUGGAGAGAAUAGCUAGUUUUGCAACAUUUGCUUAUGUUGUCAUCAAUCCUGUGACCUUUACAAAGAAAGAAAACAUAUUUAGAGGACGAGAUCUUAUGUGUUAAUAGGAAAAAUAUCAAGUAGCUUUUCUUCCAAAUGGAUAUGUCACAUAUCACGUUUCGGGAUGAAACCGUUAACAUGCAGUUAAAUGAAUUGUGGCUCAAUUUUGAGAGCAGAGGGAGAAGGUAUGCAGCGGAGCGGCGAUAAGAGUGUUUGCAGCACAGACGAUUGGAGGAGACGUUCAUACAGUUGCUGUCUGCUGAGGGAAGGAGGACCAGAUAAGGACUAGAGCUCUUAGGGCUUCUAAGGCUCAAAUCAUCUGCCUCAGACUCGUUGGAUCUCAACAAUUUUGCCUCCAAGUGAAUUAGAUAUGUGCAACUCCCUGAAAUUCAAAGCAGCUGGAAAAAAGAGACUCUUUCCCUUUUCGGAUUUCUGUGACAAUUUGCCUUUAUGGAUUGAAUUUCUGCAGGCAGACAGAUGGAAGAAUAGGGAGCCAGGCUCUUCUCAGCAGGUGUGUGCUGGCGCCCCAGUCGCUACAGCUUCACACUGAACCUGGAUGUCCAAGACGAGGUGAAAGGAUUUUAAAAAGGGAGGCUUCAGAAGACAAAAGGGAAAGCAGAGACUCUGUUCCACUGUUGCAUGUCUAGAUGUGAAUAUUCUCAAAUGCAUACGGGCUAAAACAUUAAACAGUGUUUCUA